UACAGAGGUCCCAAGCGUUGUUCGGAUUCACUGGGCGUAAAGGGUGCGUAGGCGGUCGGGUAAGUCUGAUGUGAAAUCUCACAGCUUAACUGUGAAACUGCAGUGGAUACUAUUCGGCUUGAGAGUUGGAGGGGGGAAUGGAAUUCUUGGUGUAGCAGUGAAAUGCGUAGAUAUCAAGAGGAACACCAGUGGCGAAGGCGAGUCGCUGGACAACUUCUGACGCUGAGGCACGAAAGCUAGGGGAGCAAACAGG
rnacentral:rRNA from 1 species